rnacentral:rRNA from 1 species
ACUCAAAGGAAUUGACGGGGGCCCGCACAAGCGGAGGAACAUGUGGUUUAAUUCGAUGAUACGCGAGGAACCUUACCCGGGCUCAAACGCAUUAGGAAUAUAUGGGAAACUGUAUCGCCAGCAAUGGUCUAGUGCGAGGUGCUGCAUGGUUGUCGUCAGCUCGUGCCGUGAGGUGUCGGCUUAAGUGCCAUAACGAGCGCAACCCUUAUUGUUAGUUGCCAGCGGGUGAUGCCGGGGACUCUAGCAAAACUGCCUGCGUAAGCUGUGAGGAAGGUGGGGAUGACGUCAAAUCAGCACGGCCCUUACGUCCGGGGCGACACACGUGUUACAAUGGGGGGUACAGAAGGUUGCUACCACGCGAGUGGAUGCCAAUCCCGAAAGCCUCUCUCAGUUCGGAUCGAAGUCUGCAACUCGACUUCGUGAAGCUGGAUUCGCUAGUAAUCGCGCAUCAGCCAUGGCGCGGUGAAUACGUUCCCGGGCCUUGUACACACCGCCCGU